rnacentral:rRNA from 1 species
CCUACGGGUGGCAGCAGUGAGGAAUAUUGGUCAAUGGGCGCGAGCCUGAACCAGCCAAGUAGCGUGAAGGAUGACUGCCCUACGGGUUGUAAACUUCUUUUAUAAAGGAAUAAAGUUAGGCACGUGUGCCUUUUUGUAUGUACUUUAUGAAUAAGGCUCGGCCUACUCCGGGCCAGCAGCCGCGGUAAUACGGAGGAUCCGAGCGUUCUCCGGAUUUAUUGGGUUUUAAGGGAGCGUAAAUGGGUUGUUAAGUCAGGUGUGAAAGUUUGCGGGUCAAACGUAAAAUUGCAAUUGAUACUGGCAGCCUUGAGUACAGUUGAGGUAGGCGGAAUUCGUGGUGUAGCGGUGAAAUGCUUAGAUAUCACGAAGAACUCCGAUUGCGAAGGCAGCAUACUAAACUGCCACUGACAUUGAGGCUCGAAAGUGUGGGUAUCAAACAGGAUUAGAUACCCCAGUAGUC